rnacentral:misc_RNA from 1 species
UCAAACUUGGUCAUUUAGAGGAAGUAAAAGUCGUAACAAGGUCUCCGUUGGUGAACCAGCGGAGGGAUCAUUACUGAGUGUAAAAACUCCCAAACCCCUGUGAACAUACCAUCUGUUGCUUCGGCGGGAUCGCCCCGGGCGCCUUUGCGUGCCCCGGAUCCAGGCGCCCGCCGGAGGACUCCAAACUCUUGUUUUAUAUGUGGCAUUAUCUGAGUGGCUUAUAGCAAAAUAAAUCAAAACUUUCAACAAUGGAUCUCUUGGCUCUGGCAUCGAUGAAGAACGCAGC